GUGCACGCUUCAGCAGCACAUAUCCUAAAUUGGAAUGAUACAGAGAAGAUCAGCAUGGCCCCUGCGCAAGGAUGACAUGCAAAUUUGUGAGCAUUCCAUAUUUUU